rnacentral:tRNA from 1 species
AUUUAUAUAGUUUAUAAUAAAACAUUACAUUUUCACUGUAAAAUAGAUUAAUUUCUGUAAAUA